GGGGAUGUUCUGGAUUCGACAUGUGUGAUAGCGUGUAGACUGCACUUCGGUUUUCGUGUCCCGUAAAAACACACAGUUUAUUAUAACUGCAAAAAAUAAUAAUUCUUACGCAUUAGCUGCCUAAAAACAGUCUAAGCGUGAUCCGUCUGAUUUUGCUCAAGGGUCAGAGCCGGGUCUCAAAUUAAUUGAGCUACGUUUAAAUUGUGCAGCCUGAACAGUUUAAAAAGAGAUAAUCGGGGUUAGUCGCUAUGGCUAGCCAGGUUGUGCGGCGUUCAUAGUGGCGAAAUUAAAAAUAGUACAACUAUGAGUGUAGAAGUUUACAUUGCAUCAUGCUUGGACAGGGGUUCGAUUCCCCUCAUCUCCAUUU
rnacentral:tmRNA from 1 species